GAAGAGGAGGAGGUGGUGGUAGUUAGGCAGGCUGUAGCAGCCACCCUGCGGAGCCACCCAAGCAGCCUGCGGUUCAUAGAACUCCCUUAUAAUCUCCUCUCUCUCUUUCAGCAAAACAGACCUUUCUUUAAGCAGGUUACUCUCGUUGAGCUAAAAUAUUUUUUUCAAGAGAGACCUGCAUUGCUAUAUAUUUCUAUAGCGUAUACUACUCUACUCUCAGGACUGAAACUACCCUGUGUAGGAUGGCUCAUGUCCUCAUCCAGGCAUUUGUCCCAGCGACAGAAGGUAUUUGAAUUAAUGCACUGUAAGUCCCUCUGGAUAAGAGCAUCUACUAAAUGACUGUAAAUGUAAAUGUAAAAAUGUCCUAGACCUUUAUACAUGGCCCUCAGAGAGUCCUCCCAUACGGCUGGAUGAAAAAUAGAGGAUGGGAAACAGGGUUCGAGGAGCAUUGAGGAUGGCCCCAUCACUCUUCCCCACAGCUGGACGACCCCUGAGUCUGCCUUUGGUGAAAGGUCAUCCUCCUUGGGUCACCUGUUACAUUAGCGCUCCGCCUGGCCCACACACAGUGGGUCUCUGUGAUCCCUGACCCCCCAGAAUAUACCUCUGACCCUUAUCCAUACUGAAUCAUUUACCUGACACAUCUUUGUUUACAAGAGCUAAGAGAAAUAGUUGUCUUUCCUGUUCAGGAGGCGAAAAAUAGACAUUUACUGGUUGCUCCUUGUAAUUACUUGGAAAAUGCUUUUGUGUCUUGCUUUUUUUGUCUUGCUCAAAUUGAUAAGAAUUGAUAAGAAUGGAUCAGACUACACACAAAUACGAAUGAGUAUUUGUGUGUAGUCAGAUUUUCAACACGAUGAACAUUUUGUGAAAGGAAAGGUGUAAGCCCAUUGUCAAGUUGGACCCACUCCCACAUGCGGCAGGGUAGCCUAGUGGUUAGAGCAUUGGACUAGUAUCCGGAAGGUUGCAAGUGCAAAUCCCCGUGCUGACAAGGUACAAAUCUGUCGUUCUGCCCCUGAACAGGCAGUUAACCCACUGUUCCUAGGCCGUCAUUGAAAAUAAGAAUUUGUUCUUAACUGACUUGCCUGGUUAAAUGAAGGUAAAAUAAAAAAUGCAUCCAUUCAUGACAUUAGUGGAACUGGUCCAAAAAGCCCACUUUCUGUUUUUAUAAAUGAUAAGGAGUCUUCACUGUAGGCCUAAACAUACUUAUUUUUUAUUGAGAAAAAAUAGAGGGAGGAUAUAGAAAAAUAAAUAAAGAACUAGCAUUGUACCCCAUUCCAGUUCUGCAUUGUUGUCUCUAGUACUGGCAUAUUUUAUAAUUACAUGUCUGGCUUAAGACAUGGCAGGGCUAUCCAUUUAAUCUGCCUAUGUAAAGAUAAUACAAUCCUGAUUACAUUGGGACCAGGAGGGAGAAGAAGGACACAACAGAGAACUGGUUGUCUGCUUGAAAGGAGAGGAUCUAAGAUACUCUUGUUUUUAAUAUUAUUAUGAUUGAACUUUUCUCUUUAUCUCCCAUUUCUAAUAAGCAGCUCGGAGCUCGAGUUACAAGCCGGAGAGACGGUCCAGGGAGAUUUGGGGUCCUGCCGAUAACGAUCGGGGAAUGCAUCAGCAUUCCAGGAUGCAUUUCAAACCAUUCCUAUUGGCUGGAUAAAGCCUCUCUUUUUUUAAAAGGAAUUAUAGAAAAAUCCCUGUCUUAAUUUCUUCAUGAUUUCAAUCAGGGCCUCUGCGACAGAGAGGAAAGGAGAGAAGGAAAAAAAACACAAAACACAAAGACAUAAAAAGUUGCGCAUCAUUCCGCUUCCACAUUGGCUUGAGGGGAAAAACACCUCGGAGCAUGCAAGCAGAACGGAUGGGUUUAUUGGUUUUAACCAGGAGUCAAUCACACCGAGUAACGUGAGCCCAGACAAGGCGCGGAGGCUAGAUUGCGAGGACACUAAACGCUGGAAAAUGAGGGAGGGGAAACACCAUCUCCCUACUUACAAACGUCUGAUAAUCCAGCACAUGUGCUGCCUUCUAAAGGGAUACUUAGGCUUUUAAGCUUCUUUGUCAUUCCCAUCCGAGCUUACAGAGUUGGGCCAGGAACAUCAAGUCAUGUUCAAUUUAGUCUGCUGAUCCUGAACAAACCAUUGUGGGGAUGGGAGAACGGCAGUGCUGGGGACUAGUUGUCAGAUUAGACAAGUGGAACAAGACACACACUCAAAAAGAAUGAUGCAGCUUAACUAUUCAUUUGCAGUUUUAAUUCUGGGCAUAAAGAUUGGACUCUGUUCUGUAUGUGACCAAUGUUCUAGAAAGGAAAACUCACAAAGACCUUUAUUUCCUUUGUUUUGUAUUUAUUUAGUAUGGUCAGGGCGUGAGUUGGGUGGGCAGUCUAUGUUUGUUUUUCUAUGAUUUGGGGAUUUGUAUGUUUCGGCCUAGUAUGGUUCUCAAUCAGAGGCAGGUGUCAUUAGUUGUCUCUGAUUGAGAAUCAUACUUAGGUAGCCUGGGUUGCACUGUUUGUUUGUGGGUGAUUGUCUAUGUUAGUUGCUUGUGUCAGCACAGGUCUCAUUUAUAGCUUCACGGUCGUUAUUAGUUUAUUGUUUUUGUAUUCAGUACUUUCUUUAAUUAAAUAUCAAGAUGAAC
ensembl:lncRNA